rnacentral:lncRNA from 1 species
CAGCUAUUUGACUGUUAUGGAAACUCAAGGUUUUCUGUGUGCAAAUCCCUAAACAUACUCAUUUCUUUUCUUUGCAGCUGCAUAAGAAAGAAGUGUUGAGAGCUGCUCUUAACCCUUUUGGAGGCCUAAGUCAAAAGGGAACUAGAGGGCUUGACGCAUCCUUUACAUCCGGCAUUUACUCUGACCACAGUCCCUCCCUGUUCUCACAAGCGGAGCUCAGCCCUGCUUCCCUUCCUGUUGAUUCCCAGUCAGCUACAUGACUGCCUGAAGUUACAUUGUAGAUGCUGAAAUCACUGCACCUUAAAAACAAAAAGAUUAAGCCACACUGCAUUCCUAAUGUUGGAAUUUCUGGACUGUGCAUCUGUUUAGGCACGUGGAGAAAGACAAGACUGAGAUCAUGUAAGUCAUGAAACUGAGGGUGAAUAAUCCAUACUUUGUUCUUUCACCAUUUUUUCAAUUUAUACCCAGAUGCAAGUAAUAAACCAAAACGAAGAAAAAAC